UGGGGGGUGGUAUAGUGAUAGCCCUUGGUUCAGCGGGUAGACACAUGAUCCAAACACCCACAGCCAGCUAAAAGUUGUCAGGCUGAUGCAAUCAGAAUUUUGUUGAGGCUGGGCUUGGUGACUCACGCCUAUAAUCCCGGCACUUUGGGAGGCUGAGACGGGCGGAUCACCUGAGGUCAGGAGUUCGAGACCAGCCUGGCCGACGGCAAAACCCCGACACUACUUUGAACCUGGAACAGCAAACGUGAGCCAUCCUUCGGCAAGUCUGCCCGCACAAGCCUUCUCAGCAGCUCUCCUUUUUAGCCCGCAUGCCUGUGGCUGGGCUCUGCGGGCUUGGUCUGCAAAUGGAGAGCUGCCCGAAGAGUGCCCUUUCCAGAGAGAAGCCCUCACCCCUGCCCUCUGUGAUGUCUCAGAAGCCGCUACCUGAUAGCCACGGUUUCUGCAGUCAAAGCUGUGCUGGGAGGACAGAGGUGGGGCUCUGGAGCCAGACCCCAUGGGGCUGACUUCUGCUUCCACUUUAGUUGGCCCUUGAACAACAGGGGCUUGAACUGCAUGAGUCUACUUACAUGUGGAUUUUUUUCAACAAAUGUUACAAUAAGUUUGCCUGCCUCUCCUGUCUCCCCUUCCACUUCUGCUACCCCUGAAACAACAAGAUCAGCCCCUCUUCUUCCUCCACCUCCUCUUCCUCAGCCUACUCAAUAUGGAGGCAAGGAUGAAGACCUUUACAAUGAUCCACUUCAACUUAGUUAAGAGUAAGUGUAUUUUCUGUUAUUAUUUUCUUUCUUUCU